ensembl:rRNA 5S_rRNA 5S ribosomal RNA
GCCCACAGCCAUACCACUCUGAAAGCACCUGAUCUCGUCUGACCUUGGAAUCUAAGCAGGAUUGGGCCCAGUUAGUACUUGGAUGGGAGAUUGCCUGGAAAUAUUGGGUGAUGUAGGCU